AAGCACAGUCUUAGGAGUUGGCUUGGGUAUCUAAAAGGGAAAUCUGAAAUACAGGGUUCAUUUCAAAAAUGAACAUUAUUCCAGCAUGUUUUAUGAAAAUCAGAAAGGAAAAAAAAUGGGAGUAAAUAUCAUUGUCAAGUGUUUGAGGAGAUGAACAUGAGUGGGAAGCACUGUUUAAGUGAGUUCCUGAGACAAGGAGGAACCUGAGUAUACAUGGAGUUGAAAGACUUGUCAGUAACAAUAGGAGAAUUACUUCCAUGUCCUCAGAGAAACCAGAGGAAUGGCUACCACGGAGUAAAAGAGAAGCUCUGGAAGUUGGUAACAGAAAAGGUAUUGGAUGUUAGCUUUGGAGAGAAAAGUUAGACUGAAUCCUAAGAAGGACUGAAGGCAUUCAAGUAAGAUGGUAAAGACAGAUUUAGCCUGGAUUUAUGUUUCUCCAGUGAAGCCACAAAGUGGACGAAGAAUUAUUAGGUGUAAUAAAUAGUACGGAGAGCUUCUUCAAUGACUCCCAUUAGGGCUCCUCUUGCCUUGCCCUUCCUGGCGCUAUUGGUCUGCAACUAGGGUCUGUGGAUCCUAAGGGGAGGAAGCAGAGUGCAGGAAUGGCCAAGGAUGGCAAGACCUCAGGAUUCUAAAAGUCCAGAAUCAUAGCCAUGAAAUCAGAUAAAAAACUGAAUAGGCUUUUGUGUAAAGUUUUUGGAGGUGACUACACAUCCACCAAUCCACCUGGCAAGAUAAAGAAAAUCAUCUUACUCCUUUCCAAGCAGACUGUUCGGCAAACAUCAGAUGGAGAGGGGCAUGAUGGGAAUAGCCAUGGAAGUGAACCAGCACUGACAAGAAUUUCCAAGCGUCAGGACAGGAGAUUAGUCAUCAGAUUCAACACUGGGAAAUCUGUAUCCAUCUGUCUAAUUCGCCCCUGUGCCCCUAUCCUCCACUGAGUCAAGCCAGAGGAGGGUGUUUCCAGAAACAAUUAUGGGAGCUCUGAUGCAAUCAAAGAUUCAAUCUUGGUGGAUGUGGAAGCUGGAGGAAGUGGGUCGCUGAGGGUAAUGAUGCAAUUGGGCCUUGGCUUGUUCCUGUUCCUCCUCUUUGCUUCCUGGAUAUAAAAGGUCAACAGCUCUCCUCUACCAAGUCCUUUCCCCAUUCUGCUCUGCCACAGUCCUACAUGCAAUAAAGCCUAGUCCAUGGAUUGAAACCGCAAA